rfam:Camelus ferus unplaced genomic scaffold scaffold625, whole genome shotgun sequence.
GUGGGGAUAGCUCAGUGGUCUACAGAGUGCAUGCUUAGCAAGCAUGAGGUUCUGGGUUCAAUUCCCAGUACCUCCA